rnacentral:misc_RNA from 1 species
GAAAUGCGAUACGUAAUGGAAAUUGCAUAUACGAGUCAUUGAAUUUUUGAACGCACAUUGCGCCCAGUGGUAUUCCGCUGGGCAUGUGGGGUUGAGCGUUAUUUCAAAUUAUUUUGUGCUUCUGUCCGAUUCACUAAUUUCGUGAGACUUGCUUUUGGAAUGAUAACAAGCUCUAAUUUAACUCUUAAACCUCAGCCCCACAGGAUUACCCGCUGAACUUAA